rnacentral:rRNA from 1 species
AACGAACGUUAGCGGCGCGCUUAACACAUGCAAGUCGAGCGAGAAAGGGGCAACCCCGGUAAAGCGGCGCACGGGUGAGUAACACGUAGGUAAUCUACCUCCAGGUGGUGGAUAACCUUCCGAAAGGAGGGCUAAUACAGCAUGAGACCACGAACUCGAAAGGGUUUGAGGUCAAAGUCGGCCUCUUCAUGAAAGCUGACGCCAGGAGAUGAGCCUGCGGCCCAUCACGGUAGUUGGUAGGGAAUGGCCUACCAAGCCAAAGACGGGUAGCUGGUCUGAGAGGAUGAUCAGCCACACUGGAACUGAGACACGGUCCAGACUCCUACGGGAGGCAGCAGUGGGGAAUCUUGCGCAAUGGGCGAAAGCCUGACGCAGCGACGCCGCGUGAGGGAUGACGGCCUCGG